AGAGUUUGAUCCUGGCUCAGGAUGAACGCUGGCGGUCUGCUUAACACAUGCAAGUCGAACGGAAUCUUUCGGGAUUUAGUGGCGGACGGGUGAGUAACGCGUGAGAAUCUGCCUUCAGGUUCGGGACAACAGUUGGAAACGGCUGCUAAUACCGGAUGUGCCGAGAGGUGAAAGCUUAAGUGCCUGGAGAUGAGCUCGCGUCUGAUUAGCUAGUAGGAGUGGUAACGGCACCCCUAGGCGACGAUCAGUAGCUGGUCUGAGAGGAUGAUCAGCCACACUGGGACUGAGACACGGCCCAGACUCCUACGGGAGGCAGCAGUGGGGAAUUUUCCGCAAUGGGCGCAAGCCUGACGGAGCAAGACCGCGUGAGGGAAGAAGGUCUGUGGAUUGUAAACCUCUUUUGAUCGGGAAGAAGACAGUGACGGUACCGAUCGAAUCAGCUCGAAUUCCGCC
rnacentral:rRNA from 1 species